rnacentral:misc_RNA from 1 species
UCUCCGUAGGUGAACCUGCGGAGGGAUCAUUAACGAAUGGCCUCCGUGCCUUCAAAACCCUCAAAACCUGUGGACGUUUGAAAACGUGCUUCGGCGCCUCCGGCGCCGCUUUUAUGCUGCAUCCUCAGUCUCUUCUGUCUGAAAUCACAAAGUUAGAAAAACCAAAAACUUUCAACAAAGGAUCUCUUGGCUCUC